UCAUUCAUUGUAUUUAUAUUGUAAUUAUUUUUUGAAAUAUUUGAAAACUUUGAUUUUCAUUAUAUAAACUAAUAUUUACACUUUUCUAUUUCAGUGGCUACACCAUCAGGGUAUUUGGUUUUGGGGACUACGAGUACCUCACAAAACUAUAUGGAAUCAAUGGUCCAAAUGCUCGGCAUUGUUGCCUUUUCUGUGAAAAAACAAAACAGGAAAUGCAAAUAAGAAGCCCAGUUGGGAAACCAAGAACACUUAGUUCCAUAGAAGAAUGCUAUCAGGUCUUUUUAGACAAUGGUGCUGACAAAACCACAGCCAAGAGUGUAUCAAUGAGUGUCAUUAGCAAUCCUCUUGUUGCAAUUGAAGUAGACCAUGUAUCUGUGCCAAGUCUGCACAUUUCUUUGGGCGUCUUUAAAAAGCUGUUCGACAUGUAUGAGUCCGAAGCUCAUGAAAUAGACUGUCAUAUGUAUGAAUGCAGAAAAAAACCUCAGACGAGGAUGACGAG